GACGAACGCUGGCGGCGUGCCUAAUACAUGCAAGUCGAGCGGACGGAUGGGAGCUUGCUCCCAGACCGUCAGCGGCGGACGAGUGAGUAACACGUGGGCAACCUGCCUGUAAGACUGGGAUAACUCCGGGAAACCGGGGCUAAUGCCGGAUAACUCUUUCCCUCACAUGAGGGAAAGCUGAAAGAUGGCAUCUCGCUAUCACUUACAGAUGGGCCCGCGGCGCAUUAGCUAGUUGGUGAGGUAACGGCUCACCAAGGCGACGAUGCGUAGCCGACCUGAGAGGGUGAUCGGCCACACUGGGACUGAGACACGGCCCAGACUCCUACGGGAGGCAGCAGUAGGGAAUCUUCCGCAAUGGACGAAAGUCUGACGGAGCAACGCCGCGUGAGUGAUGAAGGUUUUCGGAUCGUAAAACUCUGUUGUCAGGGAAGAACAAGUACCGGAGUAACUGCCGGUACCUUGACGGUACCUGACCAGAAAGCCACGGCUAACUACGUG
rnacentral:rRNA from 1 species